AGGGAUUGGGAGGCAAUAAUUACCUGAACUUCGCCUUAUUGGGCGCCGCAGAUUUGCCAAUUGUAGUACUUUCUUCGAUCAUUCUUGAUAAAACUGGACGACGAAAACUACUGGUCUCUACUUUAUUCUUUGGUGGUUUAGCCUGCAUAGCGUCUGGUUUGAUACCCAAAGAUUUCCAGUGGUUAGUCAUUGUAUCAGCAGUAGCUGGUAAAAUGCUGAUCUGCGCAGCUGGUGCACUCAAUGACCUCGUCGUGUCAGAAGUCUUUCCCACUGUUAUAAGACACACUGGCCUUAGCUUCUGUGUUUCCUUUGGCAGAAUGGGA